AGUGAACGCUGGCGGUAGGCCUAACACAUGCAAGUCGAACGGCAGCACAGUAAGAGCUUGCUCUUACGGGUGGCGAGUGGCGGACGGGUGAGGAAUACAUCGGAAUCUACUUUUUCGUGGGGGAUAACGUAGGGAAACUUACGCUAAUACCGCAUACGACCUACGGGUGAAAGCAGGGGAUCUUCGGACCUUGCGCGAUUGAAUGAGCCGAUGUCGGAUUAGCUAGUUGGCGGGGUAAAGGCCCACCAAGGCGACGAUCCGUAGCUGGUCUGAGAGGAUGACCGGCCACAUGGGGACUGGGCGACGGACCAGACUCCUAUGGGAGGCAGCGGUGGGGAAUAUUGCACAAUGGUAGGAAGCAUAAGGCAGCAACGCCGCGCGCGGGAUGACGGCCUUCAGGUAGUAAACCGCAGUCCCCUGUGACGAAGCGUGAGUGACGGUAAUGGGUAAAGAAGCACCGGCUAACUACGUG
rnacentral:rRNA from 1 species